UUGAAAACAAAAAUUUUAUAUAUAAUUUGGUUAAUUUAUUUAUUGAUAACCAAAAAAACAUAAAUGCAGUCAUUCCAAAAAUAUAAAAUCUGCGAAGCAUUUGCAAUGAAUGAUUUGGAUAAACGAAAUGAUUGGGUCAAUAUAAUCGAAAAUUAUUUUGAGUUCUUUUAAUUUUUUUAUUUAUCUCUUUUUACCUCUGGAUGUGUUGUGGCGUUAUUUGAAAUUUUGUUUUAUAUCCAAUUAUGAAAACAUAUUUCAGAACUAUCGCAGUUUAUCCUUUAAAAAAGUAAAAAAAACAGCUAAGUUCGAUUUUUUUUAUAUCCUCCACCAUUCGGAAGGAAAUUGAAAAUUUUCAAAUAAUAUCCCUCGAAAAAUACCGCUCAAAUAAAAACCUUUAAAAUGUGGCUAUACGAGGACGUGUUACUGUAUGAGUAAUUUUUUGUCAUAGGCUGUAGUAACAAUUUCGAACUUCCAAAAACGAAAUUCGAAACAAUUCCGGCGAAUAAUGUCGCUAAUAUCGCCAAAAUACGGCAUAGGAAGGUACCGUUGUAUGGGGCCAUAUAUUAAGACGUGGACCUGCAUUGACAAUUUUCCGUCAUAGAUUGUAGUACCCAUUACGAACUUCAAAUACGAAAUUUGAUGCAAUUCCGGUGAAUAAUAUCGCGAAAAUCCUGAAAAAUACCGAAUAUAUCGGGGUAGCGUUAUAUGGGUGCUAUAACGCAAAACGUAGACCUAUAUAAACAAUUCUCUCCCAGGGAGUAAAGUACUCAGAGGGAACUCCUUGUGUGGAUUUUCAGACUAUGUUAUUGAAAAAUGUAACUAAAAUGAUAAAAAUACCGAAUAUCGGGAGAUACAGUUAUAUGGGAGAUAUUCGAUAUCGUGGCCUAUAUAGACAAAUUUUUUUCAGGGGGUAAAGUAGUCCUUCUUUGGAUUUUAAGACUAUUCCAUUGAAAAAUGUGAUUAAAAUAAUACAUAUGCAAGUGUGUGAUGGCAAAAAUUAUGAGUCAUAUGCAUGGUAGAAGAAUACAGGUAGAUGCAUCAACGCUUGGUAACAUUGAUAUAUGUAUGGCGAAAAUCGGAGGUUGUUACAAUAUGCAUUUUUCAAUCUUUUUUUUAUAAAUUUGAAUAAUUAUACCCUCUCCAGCCAUAUGACUAGAGAGGGUAUAUAUCAAUCGAAAUAACGGUUUUAGACCCUAGGUCUCUUUAAACCAAAUCCGUUUCAGGACAUUUGAAGUCGAUCUAGCGAUGUCUGUCCGUCCGGCUGUCUGUCUCGCUGGCUGCUGCACACGAUAACUUUCGAAGGGAGUAUCCGAUUUGGUCCAAACUUGGUACAUCGUAAUAUUUUUGUCAAACUUAGAUCGAGUUCGCAGAUGGACAAUAUCGGUCCACUCCUUCUGAUACCACCCCCACAAAAUGUCAACAUUUUCAAAGCAAACAAUUGACUGCACAGAAAGAGAAAGGAUCCGAAUCCGAUUUUGCUCCAACUUUGCAAAUGCUAAUUUUUGCGUCAGUGCUAGGUCAGGUGUGAAAAUGGACAAUAUCGGUCCACUCCAUCAAGUAGCUCUCCCACAAAGGGUCAACAUUUUUAAUAAUUACAACUCUUAUAAAAUGUGAUGUAAGCGUCCGAUUAUCUUCAGAUUUCACAUAUCCCAAUAUUUUUAUUAGUCCAAGUUAUGGUAUUAAGAUGGAAUACAUCGGUCCACUCCUUCUGGUACCUCAGCCACAAAGGGUCAAAAUUUUGAGUAGCCAUGAAGCUCAUAAAACGCCAAAUUAACAUACGAUUCCAUUCAGACUUGGAAAAUCUCAAAAUUUCCAUCAACACGAGAUCUCUUAUAAAGAUGGUAGAUAUCGGACAAUUUUUCCUUGCACCUCACCCACAUAGGGUUCAUGAUUUUUAAAAACAAAAUGUUCAAAAAAAGCGAAAUAAUUGGAUGUUUAUUUCGCUUUCUUUGAGCGUUUCUCUUCAAAGUUCUCACAUCGUCCAGAGAGGGCCACAAUUUUUAAUACUUGUAUCUGUCCUUACAACUGGCUAUAUCUAAAAAUUUCUCUCAACCAGAAACCUGAGAUAAAUCUGGAAUUUAUGAUUAGACUUUAAAAUAUUUCAAUUUUUUAACAAAAAAACCCCCAAACACAUCCUGAGAGUGAACUUUAUAUAUUUUUUAAAGCAAAAGCAAAAUUCAAAAUGGUUUCUUUGCAAAGAGAGCAUAAAGAACUUAAAAUAAAUAAAUUAAUAAAUACAUAAGAAUAAUUAACAAUAAAAUGCAACGAAUUUUUCGUUUAUAUUAAAAACAAAGAAAUAAAGAGCUACACAAGAUUGAAAAUGUAAACAAUUUACAAGUUUAAAAAAAUGAUUAUAUUAAAACCAUUAUUAUUAUUAUGAUUAUAUAUAAAAAAAUAUAUACAAAAUAGUAUAGUAAAGACAUCCCAACAUACCAAAAAUACAAUACAGCUUGAGAAUAAUAUUAUGAAAAUAGUUUAUCAUAAGAAUUUUUCAACAAUGCUUGAGAAACACUUUUUUGCACAAACUUUUCUCAAAUCUGUCCUUUGUUGACAAAUUUGUUUUGAUUUUUUUUGUGAAAAUUGUCAACAAAAAAUUAUUUUCUUUGGUUAAAAUCAAAAUCACGCGAAUUUAGGACCCAUUUCCGGACGAAACUCUAAGAAUGGAGGCGUCAAAAAGUUGCAGGAAUUCAACAGAAGUGAAGAAAAAAUGGAGGAGAUACAGAAGCUCAAAUAAGGGGAAAGAAAGCAUCUAGGUAUCAAGGCAACAGGAUGCAGUGACAGCUGGGAUGGCAAUCAAUGAAUGAAAUGUGUAAAAUAAUUAAAAAAUGAAUAAAUAAAUAUUUUUUACCAUUGAAAAAAUAA